UAUUAGCUACUGUGCCUCCUGUACCCCUCUUCUACCCAGAGCUCUGCAGCCUUCUCUGGAUGCUGUUUCAGAUGAACAGCACGUGAAACAAGCCUGCAGCUGUGGCUCUUCAGGCAUUGUAUGCACAACGAGGACAUUCAUGCAGCCGAACGAAAUUUGGAAACGGCACGCUGAAGCAGGAAGAUUUCAGGUUCGCUAGAGAAGUUGGGUUUCUUGCAUGAUCUCCAGAUACUCUACAGAAAAGCCAAUGCUUCCAUCCCUUCUGGUGGGAAAAGAACAGAAAUCAAUCAACAGGAAAACAUCAGCAGGUAUUUUGCAUCGCAGAACCAGUGCAGGUCUAUUAACCCAUUUCCAAAUCAUACCACGCGAGACAGGCACGGUUCCCUGGUACCAAGUAUCUCUUGCUACCUGCAACUCCUUCUUUGGUCGUCAUGAAGGGCCAGGAGUUACACAAAGUGUCCUCACAGUCAGAUGUUUUGCUUUCCUCCUUCUUGCCUGUCCUGAAAUUUAAGAAGUUCCUGGUGUGAGCAAAGGACAGAUCUUUUGGAAGGGACAGAUGUGGAGUGUUAUUUAUUUGUAGGCUUGAAUGUCUUUGAUACCAUUUUGUGGCAGAACAUUUUCAUUUUUAUCUCCUUGACCUGGGGAUUCUUCCUUUUUGCGCGUGUUUGGAGAAUAAAUAAUGUUAUGCAUUCUCGAGUACAACUGAUAACUCUUCAGUUACAGGAUAAAAAAUAGCUUUAUUAUUUUACGAAAUAUACAAAUUACUGUUCUUUUCCUGAAUUUCUUUACCCUGAUCAAUAAAAACCACCAGACAAGCAAGCUGCAGCCUGAAAGCUAUAAGCAG